rnacentral:misc_RNA from 1 species
AUCCAAGGGUAAUUCAUAAGCUUCAUUUUGAAAACAACAAGUCAAGUUUGAAAACAAGCAUAGAAUUUUGUAGCCAUGCCCGUGGUUCUACAUUUAUUGAAACAUGAAACAAAAGCGUAGAUUGAAAACAAACCAUGUGCAUAGGAAAUAUAGAAACUUAUUGCCUAGACGUCCACUAUAGUAGACUCAAAACACAAUAAGCAUGGUGGACUUACAUAUAUAAAACAUUUGAAAUUCAUAUGUUUAUAUCUUGGUAAGUAUUUUCCGGAAACAAAAGCAAUCAACAACACCUUUUUGGAAUGCAAAGGUGGCCAGUCAUAUGCCAACUUUCACCUCCAUCAGGGUAUGCAUAAGGGCAUGACGGGGCAUAGUGAUCCUUUAAAAGUAGGUUCCAAGUUGCAUUUGGAUCAUCAGUUGCGAACAUGGUCCAAGUAGGAGUGGAAUUCUCGUAUCUACUAUGCGUGACGCGAUGGAACUUCUUCACAUCCUUGUUCUUAUUUAUGUCAUCUGGAUCUAUAUCAACAGUGAAGACAUCUCCA